CCUACGGGUGGCAGCAGUGGGGAAUAUUGCACAAUGGGCGAAAGCCUGAUGCAGCAACGCCGCGUGAAGGAAGAAGUAUUUCGGUACGUAAAGCUCUAUCAGCAGGGAAGAAAAACCGGCCUUAGGGCCGCCAGACGGUACCUGACUAAGAAGCCCCGGCUAACUACGUGCCAGCAGCCGCGGUAAUACGUAGGGGGCACGCGUUAUCCGGAUUUACUGGGUGUAAAGGGAGCGUAGACGGCAGCGCAAGUCUGGAGUGAAAUGCCGGGGCCCAACCCCGGAACUGCUUUGGAAACUGUGCAGCUGGAGUGCAGGAGAGGUAAGCGGAAUUCCUAGUGUAGCGGUGAAAUGCGUAGAUAUUAGGAGGAACACCAGUGGCGAAGGCGGCUUACUGGACUGUAACUGACGUUGAGGCUCGAAAGCGUGGGGAGCAAACAGGAUUAGAUACCCGAGUAGUC
rnacentral:rRNA from 1 species